GACGAACGCUGGCGGCGUGCCUAAUACAUGCAAGUCGAACGCUGAAGGAGGAGCUUGCUUCUCUGGAUGAGUUGCGAACGGGUGAGUAACGCGUAGGUAACCUGCCUGGUAGCGGGGGAUAACUAUUGGAAACGAUAGCUAAUACCGCAUAAGAGUAGAUGUUGCAUGACAUUUGCUUAAAAGGUGCAAUUGCAUCACUACCAGAUGGACCUGCGUUGUAUUAGCCAGUUGGUGGGGUAACGGCUCACCAAGGCGACGAUACAUAGCCGACCGGAGAGGGGGAUCGGCCACACUGGGACGGAGACACGGCCCAGACUCCUUCGGGAGGCAGCAGUAGGGAAUCUUCGGCAAUGGACGGAAGUCUGACCGAGCAACGCCGCGUGAGUGAAGAAGGGUGUCGGAUCGUAAAGCUCUGUUGUAAGAGAAGAACGAGUGUGAGAGUGGAAAGUUCACACUGUGACGGUAGCUGAACAGAAAGGGACGGCUAACUACGUG
rnacentral:rRNA from 1 species